rnacentral:rRNA from 1 species
CAGUAGCCACGGGAAUACGUAGGUGGCAAGCGUUGUCCGGAAUUAUUGGGCGUAAAGGGCUCGCAGGCGGUUUCUUAAGUCUGAUGUGAAAGCCCCCGGCUCAACCGGGGAGGGUCAUUGGAAACUGGGAAACUUGAGUGCAGAAGAGGAGAGUAGAAUUCCACGUGUAGCGGUGAAAUGCGUAGAGAUGUGGAGGAACACCAGUGGCGAAGGCGACUCUCUGGUCUGUAACUGACGCUGAGGAGCGAAAGCGUGGGGAGCGAACAGGAUUAGAUACCCCGGUAGUCCCUGUCUCUUAUAC